CCUACGGGGGGCAGCAGUGGGGGAUUUUGCACAAUGGGGGAACCCCUGCUGCAGCGACGCCGCGUGUGGGAAGACGGUCCUCUGGAUUGUCAACCACUGUCCCCAGGGACGAAGAUGACGUUACCUGGGGAGGAAGCUCCGGCUAGCUACGUGCCAGCAGCCGCGGUAAUACGUAGGGAGCGAGCGUUGUCCGGAAUUACUGGGGGAAAAGGGAGCGUAGGCGGGGAUGCAAGUUGGGUGUCAAAACUACCGGCUAAACUGGUAUGCGCACUCAACACUGCAGCGAUUGAGUGAAGUAGAGGCAGGCGGAAUUCCUAGUGUAGCGGUGAAAUGCGUAGAUAUUAGGAGGAACACCAGUGGCGAAGGCGGCCUGCUGGGCUUUUACUGACGCUGAGGCUCGAAAGUGUGGGGAGCAAACAGGAUUAGAUACCCUUGUAGUC
rnacentral:rRNA from 1 species